GGCGUGUGACUGCGUACCUUUUGUAUAAUGGGUCAGCGACUUAUAUUCUGUAGCAAGGUUAACCGAAUAGGGGAGCCGAAGGGAAACCGAGUCUUAACUGGGCGUUAAGUUGCAGGGUAUAGACCCGAAACCCGGUGAUCUAGCCAUGGGCAGGUUGAAGGUUGGGUAACACUAACUGGAGGACCGAACCGACUAAUGUUGAAAAAUUAGCGGAUGACUUGUGGCUGGGGGGGAAAGGCCAAUCAAACCGGGAGAUAGCUGGUUCUCCCCGAAAGCUAUUUAGGUAGCGCCUCGUGAAUUCAUCUCCGGGGGUAGAGCACUGUUUCGGCAAGGGGGUCAUCCCGACUUACCAACCCGAUGCAAACUGCGAAUACCGGAGAAUGUUAUCACGGGAGACACACGGCGGGUGCUAACGUCCGUCGUGAAGAGGGAAACAACCCAGACCGCCAGCUAAGGUCCCAAAGUCAUGGUUAAGUGGGAAACGAUGUGGGAAGGCCCAGACAGCCAGGAUGUUGGCUUAGAAGCAGCCAUCAUUUAAAGAAAGCGUAAUAGCUCACUGGUCGAGUCGGCCUGCGCGGAAGAUGUAACGGGGCUAAACCAUGCACCGAAGCUGCGGCAGCGACGCUGAUGCGUUGUUGGGUAGGGGAGCGUUCUGUAAGCCUGCGAAGGUGUGCUGUGAGGCAUGCUGGAGGUAUCAGAAGUGCGAAUGCUGACAUAAGUAACGAUAAAGCGGGUGAAAAGCCCGCUCGCCGGAAGACCAAGGGUUCCUGUCCAACGUUAAUCGGGGCAGGGUGAGUCGACCCCUAAGGCGAGGCCGAAAGGCGUAGUCGAUGGGAAACAGGUUAAUAUUCCUGUACUUGGUGUUACUGCGAAGGGGGGACGGAGAAGGCUAUGUUGGCCGGGCGACGGUUGUCCCGGUUUAAGCGUGUAGGCUGGUUUUCCAGGCAAAUCCGGAAAAUCAAGGCUGAGG
rnacentral:rRNA from 1 species